UACGGGGGGGGCAAGCGUUGUUCGGAAUUACUGGGCGUAAAGGGCUUGUAGGUGGCCAACUAAGUCAGACGUGAAAUCCCUCGGCUUAACCGGGGAACUGCGUCUGAUACUGGAUGGCUUGAGUGUGGGAGAGGGAUGCGGAAUUCCAGGUGUAGCGGUGAAAUGCGUAGAUAUCGGAAGGAACAUCAGUGGCGAAAGCGGCUUCCUGGUCCAGCACCGACGUCAGGCACGAAAGCGUGGGGAGCAAACAGGG
rnacentral:rRNA from 1 species